rnacentral:rRNA from 1 species
UACAGGGGGGGCAAGCGUUGUUCGGAAUUACUGGGCGUAAAGGGUUCGUAGGUGGCUCACUAAGUCACACGUGAAAUCCCUCAGCUUAACUGGGGAACUGCGUGUGAAACUGGAGAGCUUGAGGGUAGGAGAGGAAUGCAGAAUUCCAGGUGUAGCGGUGAAAUGCGUAGAUAUCUGGAGGAAUACCGGUGGCGAAGGCGGCAUUCUGGACAGUUCCUGACGCUGAAGCACGAAGGCCAGGGGAGCAAACGGG